GCGCACCAGUCAAGAAACCUCCGCAAUGCGGGAAACCGCGACGGGGGACCCCGAGUGCCGUGGCAACGCCACGGCUUUUCCGGAGUGUAAAGAGCUCCGGGAAUAAGGGCUGGGCAAGGCCGGUGGCAGCCGCCGCGGUAAUACCGGCGGCCCGAGUGGUGGCCGCUAUUAUUGGGCCUAAAGCGUCCGUAGCCGGGCCCGUAAGUCCCUGGCGAAAUCCCACGGCUCAACCGUGGGGCUUGCUGGGGAUACUGCGGGUCUUGGGACCGGGAGAGGCGGGGGGUACCCCUGGGGGUAGGGGUGAAAUCCUAUAAUCCCAGGGGGACCGCCAGUGGCGAAGGCGCCCCGCUGGAACGGGUCCGACGGUGAGGGACGAAGGCCA
rnacentral:rRNA from 1 species